rnacentral:lncRNA from 1 species
GGAACCAUGUGGUUCGUAAGCAAGCUACUUACCACACAGCUACUCCUACGCCUAUGUGCUAACAAUUCUACCAUCUUGCCACCUCUACUUAAUGGAAUCAGGAAGCAUCUGAGCAAUUGAAAGAAUAGACUUCGUUAUUAUCAAAGCUCUUCUCCAGAACUGGAGCAGUAUUCAGAGGUGCUUUGUAUCUGGAAAGUGGUUUUUAAUUUAAACAAGCUGAACUUUAAAUAUUCAAUAAUAAAAAGAUGUUCAGAAAAUAAA